rnacentral:rRNA from 1 species
UAGGGAAUCUUCCGCAAUGGGCGAAAGCCUGACGGAGCAACGCCGCGUGAGUGAUGAAGGUCUUCGGAUCGUAAAACUCUGUUAUUAGGGAAGAACAAAUGUGUAAGUAACUAUGCACGUCUUGACGGUACCUAAUCAGAAAGCCACGGCUAACUACGUGCCAGCAGCCGCGGUAAUACGUAGGUGGCAAGCGUUAUCCGGAAUUAUUGGGCGUAAAGCGCGCGUAGGCGGUUUUUUAAGUCUGAUGUGAAAGCCCACGGCUCAACCGUGGAGGGUCAGUGGAAACUGGAAAACUUGAGUGCAGAAGAGGAAAGUGGAAGUCCAGGUGGAGCGGUGAAAUGCGCAGAGAUAUGGAGGAACACCAGUGGCGAAGGCGACUUUCUGGUCUGUAACUGACGCUGAUGUGCGAAAGCGUGGGGAUCAAACAGG